AUGCGUGGUAUCAAGAGGCGCACUGAGGCGCUCCUGCAGCCUCCUCCCUGCACGGGACUCCUCACAACCCCCAGCCUCAGCCCCCCCGACAGGGCAGGGGCUCACUCUUCCCCACUCCGGGCCAGGAACGCAGCCUGCUUGCCUUUUUUGUCCAACUGGGUGCUCUUUCUUUGCGACUGAUACAAAGUGGGAACAAACUCCGCUUCCGGUGAUGCCCGGGCCCCAGGAGGCUGGAGGAGAAGUGCACGCUGCCCGGCCUUCAACCUGAACUGCCCCCAGCACUUCCGAGCCCCGACCCCUGCAGCUGUGAGGCUCCGGUCCCUGGGGGGGCACCCAUGCCCCAGGAGCACCUCCCCAAGGCCAU
rnacentral:lncRNA from 1 species